rnacentral:rRNA from 1 species
UACGUAGGGUGCAGGCGUUAAUCGGAAUUACUGGGCGUAAAGCGUGCGCAGGCGGUUGUGCAAGACCGAUGUGAAAUCCCCGGGCUUAACCUGGGAAUGGCAUUGGUGACUGUACGGCUAGAGUGUGUCAGAGGGGGGUAGAAUUCCACGUGUAGCAGUGAAAUGCGUAGAGAUGUGGAGGAAUACCGAUGGCGAAGGCAGCCCCCUGGGAUAACACUGACGCUCAUGCACGAAAGCGUGGGGAGCAAACAGG